AUACGUAGGUCCCGAACGUUGCGCGAAAUUACUGGGCGUAAAGGGUCCGUAGGCGGUCUGGUAAGUGGAAGGUGAAAGCCUGGGGCUCAACUCCAGAAUUGCCUUCCAAACUGCCGGACUUGAGGCAGGGAGAGGUCGGCGGAAUUCCCGGUGUAGUGGUGAAAUGCGUAGAUAUCGGGAGGAACACCAGUGGCGAAGGCGGCCGACUGGAACUGUCCUGACGCUGAGGGACGAAAGCCAGGGGAGCGAUAAGGAUUAGAAACCCUAGUAGUCC
rnacentral:rRNA from 1 species